ensembl:lncRNA
GUCUGUGGGAGUGGUACAUCCCAUAUGGUCCUAGCUGAGAAGUUGGAAAAACCACAGGCUUGAAAUCAGGAAUGUUGUUCUCAUUAGUGUAAACUCCCAGACCUCUCAUAUCUUAGAUGUGAAUAGUUUUACCACCGCAAUAUCUCACAUGGAAACCCUUUGGAAAACUAACGUGUAUCAGAUGCACUUACCAAGUUGUCAUCCAACUUCUACAGCAAGAAAUCCAAACUACAGAAGUAUAGCUGAAAAGGCCAAAAACGCCAUCUACGAGAAUGCGAACUUCCAGGGAUCCUCCAAAGAAUUAGCCAGUGACACUGCCAAUCUGAAAGAUGAGCAUUGGAAUGGCCGUCUCUUCAGUAAAAGUAAUAGAACAGCUUUGGGUGGCUUAUGAGCACUUCAGCUAUGCAGGCCAGGUAUUGGUAUUUGAGGAAGGGCAACAUAGAUUUGCUGGUGAACAGUUAAAUGACAAGAUCACUUUCCUGCACAUGAUCUGCAGAUCUGCAGAUCAGUCUAUGAACAUGCUCAGUAUUGAAGGAAGAGCAGGGUGAUAACAGAAACAACCAGCCUGGGUUGGGGACAUGCCACUGACAUUGUCACCAAGUCCAGAGAGGUGCACAGCCGUUGUAUGAACACAGAGACGUGAUUUAUGCUAGAUUGCAUGAGAAUAUGAACACC